rnacentral:rRNA from 1 species
CUCGUAGGCGGCCAACUAAGUCAGACGUGAAAUCCCUCGGCUUAACCGGGGAACUGCGUCUGAUACUGGAUGGCUUGAGUGUGGGAGAGGGAUGCGGAAUUCCAGGUGUAGCGGUGAAAUGCGUAGAUAUCUGGAGGAACACCGGUGGCGAAGGCGGCAUCCUGGACCACGACUGACGCUGAGGAGCGAAAGCCAGGGGAGCAAACG